CCACGACCGUGACAUGCCAUUUCGUUCCCGAGAAUCCACGCCUCCCGCGCCUUUUCCAGUGUUACUCUGCGUUGAGGCAUCGUGUCCUCACUUUAUUACGCUGCCUAGAACCCUACCUAGCCCUCUCCUCUGUCACCCCUCAUCUGUCGAACACCUACGCUCAGUUUCGAUACACACCUCGCUGUGACCUGUCCAGCACGCGCCUCUCCCUUCCUUCGCUUGCAAGACACCCGCCACGUCACGCCUCACCUUUUUCCGCCGCCCAUUUGUCCAAUCCACGCCCGAGAACGUCGCCGUGAACGUGGUGCACACCGCCGUCGGUACACCAGCGUUUCCGUUUCCGAUGGUCACCCCGUGCUCUCAUCCCUCCCUUUUUAAGUAACCCCAGCGCAUCCCUGUCCCUCUCCACCUCACACUUCCCCUCUUCACGCCUCUCUUCAUCUCCCUGGGAGCAGAAGGAAGAGCCUGCUCCGUUUCCUCCCUCGCCGGAGAAGAAGACCGAGCCGUCGCUCGUCUGAGCGGACGUCGCUCGUUACGCCCGCGACUGCUGGCCCUCACCAGCCCUCCUCUCUGUUCCUCUCGACGCUGCAGCCUCUCCUAGACUUAACCCGCCCCUUUCCUUUUUCUCAGGUACCACUUGAUGGUCGCCGUCGUCGGAGUUCUGCCCGUGCCUUGCCGCGGUGGCCCUCGACCGUGUUGUUGACCUGGAGCUCCGCGGACGCGUUCGUGGCGCUGGGGAGAGCCACCUUGAGCCCGUUUUCCUUACCAGGUCGCUGUCCAUGUCUCCGAGCCCCUCGCUCCGAGUAGCGCUGCGGCGCCGUAUUGUUCGUUUCCUCGCUGCAGAGAGCAAGCCCUGCACUCGUGGUCACCGCGAGGUGGCGCGCAAGGACCCCCUGCAGCUGCCACCGACGAGAACUAUCCGAGCCAGACGUUGAAGAAGAACCUGUCUGUGCCGUCGCCAUGAGGAGCACAUGGUCGAGCUGGAGGAGCUUAUGCACUGCAACGACCCAUUACCACGUCAGCACCACCUCUCCGUCGAUCCCAAACCGCCCGCACGGGGAGCACCCGCGUCACUGUCGUCCGCUUCGUCCGUUCCGGUCUGUCCCGGCGGCACGCACGCUCCCGUCUGCGUCGACCUCUCCAACACGACCAAGAUGCUUCGCUGGGCCACCCUACUCCUCCUCGCCAUCCUGUGGCAGUCCUCGUCGAGCUACAGCCGUCCCUGAUUCGAACGCCGCCGGAAACAAAGGAGGAGGUAAAUUUGGAGCAUUUGAGGAAGAAGGCUAGGGACACUUUGCUAAUCAAGGCAAGCCACCUCUUGAUGCAUCUCUGAUCCUAUAUAUCUUGCUCUUGCAUUACUACAUGUUUUACAAAGUGCAUGAUUUUAUUUAUUUAUGUGGGUGGUUAUUGUCACCCGGAGUUUUAUUAUUCCACCCUUAGGGUGCAGCCCUCGUUGGUACCUACUGAUCGAACCCGUAUUAGUGAUAUGGUGCUUACCACCUUGUCAUCCUUGUCGCCAGUUUUCAAGAAAAGUUGGACUAUAGGUUUGGAGCCCUCGAAAAAUGGUUGUGAAAUUGUUUUCAAGAAAAGAAGUUUUUCAAAGACCUUGGAAUGGGGUAGACCUGCCCAAGUGUGAGUUUAUGAAAGGAAAAAGGUUUAUGAAAAGAAGAUUUGCUGGAGGCAAAUGGAGGAAUGAAAAUGUUUGCGAAAACUUUAGCGCCUAAGUACUCACCCGGACUAAAAGACAGUGCAACCACAUUACCCCAAAGUGGGCACGGGGCGUAGCGUAGUAGUUUGUCUCGCCGUAGUUUGAGUCCUGCAAGUGUAGUGGCAGUCCGACCAUGGACGCUUCGACCGGGGUUCUUCCCAUGAGAAGGGACGCAACCCAUUUGCCUUUUCAGGUACGCGGGGUACAACUUAUGAGCUCCCAUUGAAAGAUGCCGAAGUGGUUGGAUGGCAUUCCGGAGGGUUGGCUGUCGGGGACUUUGCAACUCCUGGGUAAACGGCAUCCCGGACUCUGGUGUUGGGAGGUACAACUCAUUCGGCAUGUCUUAGGCUAAGGCGAGCAAGCGAAAAACUACGAUCGGUUAUCCGAGCCUCGCGUUUUGACGCUUGGUGAACCAGGGAUGAUCCCGGCGGAUUUACCGGAUCUUGUGGGGAAAGUGUACAACCUCUGCAGAGUGAAAACUAUUCGAAUAGCCGUGUCCGCGGUUAUGGACGGUUGGGAAGGCAGCUGCUUAGCACUAAAGAGUUUUGGUUUACAAAAGUGUUUUUCUCAAAUAUUGUUUUGGGAAAGUGAUGCCAGUGGGACUGGUGGAAAAUGUACCUGGGAGGUACGGUGGAAAGUUGGAAAGGAAAUGGCCAUAUGAGAUGGCUGAAAUUAAGUUGGGUCACCCUUACCUAUUAGUCUUCAAACGAAACUUGUUUUCAAAAAGGUUUUCAACAAAGAUAUAGAGAUGUCAUACUCUCGAGAGAAAUUAUCUCUCGCUCCUUGUAACCCUAGAAUAGUGCCUGAUCCUUGCUACUGCCAAAUUGCAUAUCCUUUAUUCCUCUCUAAGGUGGUUUGCGAGUACAAUUCAUAAUGUACUCAUGGCUUUGUCCCUGGCUAUUUACUUGGCCAGACUUGGUGGAGUUCUACAGAUGAAGAAGGAGUAAACGACGUCUAUGCAAGCUAGGACCGUCUUCCCAGUCAGUUGCCUGUAGGGUUAUGGCAUGACUUGGGCCAUGCGAACGCUUUCGUCUGAAGUAUUUCCGUUGUGUGGUUGAUGAUCUCCUGCCAUUAUGGCUCCUAUGUAAGUAUUGGUCAUGUGACCUGUUGUAAUCUUUUCAUUCGGUACUGUAAUGGAUGAUGUAUUUGAUACCAGUUCAGUUAUGCUUUCACGACACACUGAUCAUGGGAUCGUGAAUGUGUAUGCAUAACGGGUGUUUCGGACAGCUAGUCCGGGGCCCCACAAAGAAUCUGCUCGCUAAUGGGUCCCACAUGUCAGCCUCUAUGGACGAUAAACCUUUCUUUUCUUGGAGUUAUUUUGACCCCUAAUUUCUGGCUAUUUUGCCUUUUUUUUGGA